AUUUAUUAUAAUUAAUAAAUAAAUGGAGACACAAGUUCAACGUGAAAUCCAAAUACGUAAUUUACGCAAGUAAACGCAAAUGAGUUUUCCCGGGAAAAUGACGUCUGCUCAAUUGAGGACACGUGUCCUGCAAGGCAGACCCAUCCCCCGCUCUUCCAUGCACAUUAACGAAGUAAAGUCAUUACAGCACAGCUGGUCUAUGUCACAAUGCUGGGAACCCAAAGAAAUAAAAGAUGAAGACCUCAACAGGAUGCAGAGCAUCACAUUGCUUGUAAAACUGAUAAACCAGGGCUUCAAGAGCAGUUCAUCAGCAAAUAUAAAGGCAAUAUAUUUCAGUAUUUACAAUUAAGCAAAUUACCAAUAAUAUUAAUCUGCAAAACUGAGAAGGUAAUGUAUAUUUGUGAUUCCUGAAUACAGUGCUGCAUGAAUGAGUCCUAAAACUCAUUCAUGUAUGUUUGCACUUCUGGUUGCAUCAUUGCAAAGUCAAUGUUUUUUUGAAGGUCUGAGUUGAACACAAGCUCAAGAUAUUUUCA